rnacentral:miRNA from 1 species
GAGUAUUGCUUUAGUAAUGGC